rnacentral:rRNA from 1 species
AUUGAACGCUGGCGGCAGGCCUAACACAUGCAAGUCGAGCGGAGCGGCGGACGGGUGAGUAAUGCCUAGGAAUCUGCCUGUUAGUGGGGGAUACCGUCCGGAAACGGGCGCUAAUCCCGCAUACUAUCAGCUCAGCCUAGGUCGUCUUAGCUCGUUGGUGGGGUAAAGGCCUAACAAGGCGACGAUCCGUAACUGGUCUGAGAGGAUGAUCAGUCACACUGGAACUGAGAGACGGUCCAGACUCCUACGGUAGGCAGCAGUGGGGAAUAUUGGACAAUGGGCGAAAGCCUGACCCAGCCAUGCCGCGUGUGUGAAGAAGGUCUUCGGAUUGUAAAGCACUUUAAGUUGGGAGGCGUUACCAACAGAAGAAGCACCGGCUAACUUCGUGCCAGCAGCCGCGGUAAUAC